rnacentral:rRNA from 1 species
AAUGGACGAAAGUCUGAACCAGCCAUGCCGCGUGGAGGAUGAAGGUCCUCUGGAUUGUAAACUUCUUUUAUAUGGGACGAAAAAAGGGUUUUCUAACUCGUCUGACGGUACCAUAUGAAUAAGCACCGGCUAACUCCGUGCCAGCAGCCGCGGUAAUACGGAGGGUGCAAGCGUUAUCCGGAUUCACUGGGUUUAAAGGGUGCGUAGGUGGGUUGGUAAGUCAGUGGUGAAAUCUCCGAGCUUAACUUGGAAACUGCCAUUGAUACUAUCAGUCUUGAAUAUUGUGGAGGUCAGCGGAAUAUGUCAUGUAGCGGUGAAAUGCUUAGAUAUGACAUAGAACACCAAUUGCGAAGGCAGCUGGCUACGCAUAUAUUGACACUGAGGCACGAAAGCGUGGGGAUCAAA